AUGUGGCCCGCUUCCAAGUGCGUCUGCGCGCCGGCCACCCACGCCAGGUCCUUCAAGUGCCGCUUCCACCGCACCAACUCCCAGGGCCAGGGAAGCCGUCCUUCUUCGCCCCCUUCACCGGCCGCGGCCAACGCGGUGCCGCGGCACCCGGCCUCGCCGUUCUCGUCCUCCGGCACCGUCACGACCCAGUGA
rnacentral:rRNA from 1 species